AUUCAUGGAGAGGUAUGCACUCAGCCAGCACGUGCUUCCCUCGUGCAGUGGAAGGUUGACCUAUUUUGGAACACAAGAUGAUGGUGCACAUCAAAGAAAUCCAAUUCUACCAACCAAUGGGAGCUCUCGGUCCGGGCCACGUGACGGAGAGGAUGACGAGUCCGCUGAAGACGUCAAGCUUCAGAAGAACGUGGGACUGCUAAGUGGGGUCACUCUUAUUGUUGGGACCAUGAUAGGUUCGGGUAUAUUCGUGUCUCCCCGCGGCGUCCUCAUUGGCUCGGGUUCGGUCGCUAUGAGUCUCAUAGUGUGGACGGGAUGCGGAAUUUUGUCAAUGAUGGGCGCACUCGUCUAUGCUGAGCUUGGUACAGCCAUUGUCAAAUCCGGAGCAGAACAUGCCUACCUACUACAUACGUUCAAGCCAAUGAAUAGAUGCUGGGGGCAGGUGCCCGCAUUCCUGGUAGCCUGGCUUGGUAUCUUCAUCAUCAGACCAUCCAUGUUUGCCAUCAUGGUGCUCAGCCUCGGAACAUAUGCAACCCAGCCUUUCUACACACCGUGUGAAGCGCCACCCCUCGUCAAGAAGCUGGUAACAUGUGCAGCCAUGUUGUUAAUCCUGCUGAUCAACUGCGCCAGUGUUAAAGUGGCAACUAAGGUACAGGACAUUCUGACCGGAAGUAAGCUUGUCGCCAUUGCCAUAAUAUCUAUAGGUGGGAUCUACAAGAUAGCUACAGGUAGUACGUCUUACAUAACUGAGGGCUUCCAGGAUACAGAGAGUAACCCGUCCAUCAUCGCGCUGGCUUUCUACAAUGGCUUGUGGGCAUAUGACGGCUGGAAUAACCUCAACUUUGUCACGGAGGAAUUAAAGAAUCCGGAAAGAAAUCUACCCAGGGCAAUAUUACUCGGCGUCCCACUGACGACCAUUUGCUACGUGCUCGUUAACAUCGCCUACUUUAGCGUCAUCUCCAAAGAGGAAGUCCUGCUCAUUGAUGCCGUAGCAGUGACAUGGGGUAACAAAAUUCUUGGAGUUAUGACGUGGAUCAUCCCCGUGUUUGUCGUCCUGUCCUGCUUCGGCUCAGCCAAUGGGUCGCUGUUUGCAAGUGGGAGGUUGUCCUUCGUGGCUGCCAGGGAGGGCCAUCAGAUGCAGAUGUUGUCGUUCAUCGACAUACACCGACGCACCCCAGUUACGGCCCUUAUAUUUACGACAGCUGUGGGGAUGCUGAUGAUUCUGCCCAGUGAUCUCAGUACACUGAUCAGCUUCUUCGGGUUUGCUGCUUGGCUGUUCUACGGCCUCACGUGUGCUUCCUGCAUAGUGCUACGGUACACCCAGCCAGACCUGCCACGUCCAUACAAGGUUCCCAUCGUCGUUCCCGUCCUGGUGGUGUUGGCAUCAAUAUAUUUGGUCAUCGCCCCCAUCGUCCACGAUCCCCGGAUGGAGUUCCUGUACGCGCUCAUGUUCAUCGCCAGCGGGCUGCUUCUUCUAUUUCCCCUUCGUCUACUAUAAACUGUCUGUACCCGGCGUCGAUUCAUUCACUAGAUUUGUUCAAAAGCUUUUUCAAGUGGCGCCCCCACACUCGGUUCACAACCACUGACGUUGAGUGUUCGAGGUGAAGGUCACGGAAAGGUGAAGGUCAACGAGGGAUGUUCACAGGAGCGAACAACGUCAUAAUAUUUAAAAUAUUUACAGCGUUGUGAAUUGUUUCAAAGCAUCAUGACAACUGCAUAGGCAUCGCGAUCACCGGAUCAUCUGGCUGUGUAGUUUCCAUGAUAGUCGUGCAUCUUUGCUACAGUAACAGUGGCGGAUCCAGAGAGGUGGGGUCGGAACACAACACACACAAAAAAACAAAAAAAACACAAAAAACACACACACACACACACACACCACCCCAAAAAAAAAUAUUGCUAAAAACGGCGUAAAACUAAACUCAAUCACUCCAGUUACAUCACGGCAUGUCAGUAUGAUGUAGUGAAUUGUCGUAAAUGAUGCAGGCGUUAGGUGUUUACGUCUGCGGUGAAGCCCACGAGUGUAUGGUGCUAACAAACCAAGACACAUCAGGGGCUAAUUGGGAUUCGAUCCCACGAUCAUGGGUUUAUGGCACACCGAAGAGGCGAAACUCCCUCCAUCCACCCCUGCUUUCCAUUGUGAUCACUCGCUUAAACUGUGUGGGAGAAUCAUCUGUGCAUAGAUGAACCCCAAAGAACAUCCGGCAAUCUGCCGUCGUUAUUGUUAGAAUUUUCAUAACAUUUAUUCUACAAAGAAGACACUUCUGGCGUAGCGGGUGAAUGAAAGCAAGGGAAGUAACCCCACAUGUAUUCCAUAUAGCGGACAUGUGAUUCAACAAGUGUAUUUAGAUUUACCUCCCCUGUUCCUUCACUCCGUUUACGCUACAGCUUGCCUGUGCCUGGUGAUACAGCAGGAAAGUGUCGAAAUACGCACAGACCGUUAAGCCAACUGCCCUUUAAAUACCUAUUUCCUCUAAUACGCGCCGGAUCUCUAGUAAGCGCCUGCCUCCAAUAAGCGCAUGAGAGUAAAGCAACUGUUCAAGAAACAAGCGCCGGGUAUCGAGUAAGCGCCGGGUGUGCCACAUGUUUACAAUGGAGUUUUCAAAUAUAAUACCAAUAAAGAAUCUAUAUUCAUUUCCGUUGAAAAUUUAAGCGCGGGGCCUCCAGAAAGCCGGCCCCUAUUAACCACAGGGGGUGAGAGUUUGCUGAAUUAAUAAGCGCCCGGGCACUUAUUAGAGGAAAUACGGUAAUAUGUAUUCCUAUGUGCCUUUACUUGUGUAUAUUGUCUCGUGUGGGAAAUCGGUCAUCUAUUCAUUCACGCUGAAGGAUUUACGGCACGCCGUACACUACCAACGAAUGAAAUGUAACAAACAGAAUACAUAAAGUCUUUUCUCAGGGGCAGGUGCGAUGUCUGCUGAAUUUGUUGAAUGGUUAAGGUAUCCAUUGUAACCAUCCUCGGUCAUCAAGGGAAUUAUAUCGCCAUUGUGUUUUGGUAAACACUCCAGGCCUAUUCUGUAUAGCUUUGGUUCUUUAUAGCAAUUUCAUAGCUUUUUUGGCAGAAUUCACAUUUCGUUCAUGAAAAUAAUUUGAUAUAUUUUAGUGUCAUGCCAUUCCAAUCAGGGGAAAAACGAAGCCAUGGUGGCGUAGGGGUCAAGGACAUUUUUUAAUACGGAAUGGUAAUAUAAUACACUUGAUAAAAGAGGAUGGUUCACAAGUCGUUUGUUAUUUUAAAACUACUCUGUAUAUACUUAUCAUAUGUUAGUACCAAACAUUUGUUUGUGUUUUAUUCCCAUCUUGUAUAUAACCAUCUUGCUGCAUCUCAUUCAGGGGGACCCUUGGCAGAUUAGGUCUCCAGUACGUCAUGCUUGCAAUCACCACCAACUUCCAUGGGUGUAAGGCUGUGAUCUGGCGGGUGUUUGUAGACAUCGUUUUGUUAUCAUCAUACCCUCGUUCUUGAUCACUUUCAGACAGUCGUCAUUUAGCUGUAAUAUUGCGUGGAAGAUAUGUUUUAAACUGCCGGGCAGAGGAAUGUAUGCACUUUAAAAGGACUUGACCAAAACAUUCAAAAGGUCACCGCAUCAUUGCAAAGUACAGGUCCAACAUUUAAAUAUAAAAUACAUGAUGAUGCGAUAAAUGUCGUUUUGAAUCACCACCACACAAAGGUGUAUAUUUCCUCUGCACGGUAGUGAGCGUAAGAUUUAAUAAAUAAUUAUCACCCAC
rnacentral:misc_RNA from 1 species